AUGCUAAUAGAUGAUUGUGCUUACCCAACCGUCUGCGGAGAGUAUGGCAUAUGCACCCAGGGGCAAUGCGCCUGUCCACUUCAGAACAAUUCUAGUUCCAGCUACUACAAGCCAGUGGAUGAGCGGAAGCCAAAUCUUGGUUGCGCGCCAAUAACUCCAAUCUCUUGCGAAGAAAUUCAACAUCAUCGACUCUUGGCACUUACAGAUACUUCUUACUUUGAUGAAAGGCACAAGAUUGUGCAUUUAAACGAAGAUGACUGUAAGCAAGCCUGCUUGAAGAACUGCUCCUGCAGGGCCGUUAGCUUCAGCUAUGACCAGUUGGGUCAUAGUAGAUGUACCUGGAUGGCAAAGGUCUUCUCCUUGCAAGCAAUACAACCUGUAGCCAACUUAAGUUCCUCUGUUUACCUCAAGGUGCAGCUUAGGCCCUCCAUUACUGCAUCUACUUCAAACAAAACAAAAGUAAUGUUAGGUGCUGCAUUUGGAGCUUUUGCUAUUCUUGUAUUGCUUGUGAUUGGUGUCACUCUUUAUCUACGAGGUAGAAGGAAGUAUGGAGACAAAGAUGAAGAAUUUGAUUUCGAUCAAUUACCUGGAAUGCCAGCAAGGUUUUCUCUUGAGAAGGUGAGUGGAUGCACUGAAGGAUUCGGUAAGAAACUUGGAGAAGGUGGGUUUGGGUCGGUUUUUGAAGGAAAAUUAGGUGAAGAAAGAAUUGCGGUAAAACGUUUGGAAGGUGCUAGACAGGGGGAGAAAGAGUUCUUGGCAGAGGUUGAGACUAUUGGUAGCAUUGAACACAUCAAUCUUGUCAAACUGAUUGGGUUUUGUGCAGAGAAGUCUGAGAGGCUUCUGGUAUAUGAAUAUAUGUCAAGAGGAUCGCUUGAUAGGUGGAUCUAUUACCGCCAUAACAACUACUCUCUUGAUUGGUGCACUCGUUGUAAAAUCAUAUUGGAUAUUGCCAAGGGCCUGUGUUAUCUUCAUGAGGAGUGUAGGCGAAAAAUUGCUCAUCUGGACAUCAAACCACAAAAUAUUCUCUUGGAUGACAACUUCAAUGCCAAAGUGGCUGAUUUUGGACUGUGUAAGUUAAUAAAUAGGGAUCAAAGCAAGGUAGUUACUGUGAUGAGAGGAACACCUGGAUAUCUAGCACCUGAAUGGUUGACGUCGCGGAUCACUGAAAAAGUGGACGUCUACAGUUUUGGAGUUGUUGUCAUGGAGAUAGUAAGUGGAAGGAAAAAUAUUGACAACUCUCAGCCUGACGAGGAAGUUCAGCUCAUAAAUUUAUUAAGAGAAAAAGAAGAAAACAAUCAAUUGAUUGACUUGGUCGACAAGCAUAGUGACGAUAUGGUCUCAUGUCAGGAGGAAGUGAUUCGAAUGAUGAAGCUUGCAAUAUGGUGCUUGCAAAAUGACAGCACUCGAAGGCCAUCCAUGUCAACAGUGAUCAAGGUAUUGGAAGGUGUGAUGAGUGUAGAAACUUUUGAUGGAAAUUCAAUCUUGUUUGUUCAAGAUAAUCCAUCAACACAUUCAGUUCCAUCUCAAGCAUCCAUAUUAUCUGGCCCAAGGUAA
rnacentral:rRNA from 1 species